UACGGAGGGGGAUAGCGUUGUUCGGAAUUACUGGGCGUAAAGCGCGCGUAGGCGGAUUUGCAAGUCGGGGGUGAAAUCCCGAGGCUCAACCUCGGAACUGCCUUCGAUACUGCAAAUCUCGAGUCCGGAAGAGGUGAGUGGAAUUCCUAGUGUAGAGGUGAAAUUCGUAGAUAUUAGGAAGAACACCAGUGGCGAAGGCGGCUCACUGGUCCGGUACUGACGCUGAGGCGCGAAAGCGCGGGGAGCAAACAGG
rnacentral:rRNA from 1 species